rnacentral:lncRNA from 1 species
GGACAACCAUCUUCGAAUGUCUCACGUGGACGAGAUGGAGAUGAGAACGAACAAAGAGCAAAAGAACUUAUUCUUCUUCACUCCAAUUACAUCAUUCUUCCAAUUACAUCAUUCUUCACAGAUCACCUAUUCUUCUCAUAUUCUUCUCAUCGCAAAUAUGGCAUAGAAGCUUCUCCAAAUUCGCUAAUAGAAUUUUGAGUCUAUGAUUUC